rnacentral:lncRNA from 1 species
GCCAUACCUGGAGCAUAUGGAAGUUUCUGGGCCAGGGAUUGAAUCUAAACCACAGCUUUGACGUACACUGCAGUGGCAGCAAUGCCAGAUGCUUUAACCUACUGCGCUGGGCCAGGGAUCCCACCCGUACCUCUGCAGCGACCCAAGCCGAUGCAGUUAGAUUCUCAACCCACAGCACCACAGCGGGAGCUCCCCGUGGUAGAUUUCCUGAGCAGCUUACGUACCUUUCUCUCUCCUCUGCCCCUUCCUCGGGUACUCAGGUCCCACUAAUACAGUUUCGGCGUCUAGGACGUAAAUUUGUAGUCAGGCCUUUGGGUAGCUAGGCCACCUUCAAACUCCUGUCUCUGUGAGCCCUUGUCAUUGUAGGCUGUUGUAUUUGUUUUUCAAAGUUCUCUCCUAUAUUUUCUCACCGGUUCUUCACAGUCAGGUUCUUAGAAGGCUUGUGCUAUUUGAUAAUCUCUGUUUUACAGAUGAAAACUCUGGUCCAGGGAGGCUGGGUAGCUAGUCCAAGGGCACGAGCAGGUCAUUCCAAAGCUCCGAGUGACAUCUCUUUCUUCUGACUCUGAAUUGUUGCUCUUCAAUCACAUCUCAAGUGCACACAACCCUGGGACUGGAGUCAGGCCACAGGUGAAAUUCGCACCAAUGGGAAACAGGUCAACCUCUUACCUGUCUUCUCCCCAGGGAGUGAGUUGUUCUCCUGGGACCCUCGAAGGAAGCUGCAGAGGAAGCUGUUUCCUGAACAGUGAGAUGUGACCGCCCAACAGGGGUGGGCACUGGUGACACCGGAGCCUUCGGUUCCCCUCCCGUCCCUCACAGCCCUCGACCCAGGCCUUGGCCGUGUCCCACCAGUGGCGUCUGACUCAGGAGCUCCACUCCGCGGUGCAGGGGUUUGCAGUGAAGCUUCACCGGACCAGCAGGGGCGAGGGGGCAUGGCCUUCACCUGCCAUAAUUAAGCUUUGUCCUCUGUGUCGUGAGCAAAUGCAGCCCACAGAAUCCUGAGGCGCACAGGAUUGCCAUGUAGUGUGUGGUAGGAGGGCCUCUGGGGAGUGAAAAUAAGGUGAUGAGGUCCAACCUCAUUUGUGACCUAGAACCUCGAUACCCAAAUGGUCCACAGCCCAGCAGAUCAGCAUCACCUGCGGGGGGGUCCAGAAGCACAGAAACUCAGGCCUCAUCGGAGACUUCGGGAAUCAGAGUCUGCAUUUUAACAGGAUGCCCGAAGCCUAACUCCUAGGCCUGUCCCUGGCUCCCUCCCUCUCUCUCCCAACUCCUCCGUAUCUGCCUCUGUCACAGGAGGGGCCUCCUAUACACCAUCCCCGUGGAGUCUAGAACAGUGUCUUGCUCCUGCCAUUUCUGGAUGAGUUUUUUGAAUACGAUUUUUUGAGUAUGGGAAAGAACACCGGAUAAAACGAUUGUGUGAGUGAAAGUAAUGCAAAGUGUAAGCGCUACCAUUUACAGAUAAGGAGAGACUUCUUGGAGGAGGUGACGUUUUUCAUUUCUUUUGGCCAGGGGGACCCUGACUUAGCACAGAUGAAGGUGAAAGGCCAACCGAGUUGGGGAGGGUUGCAUAAUGGUCUGAGUAAAUCAUUGCUCAAUGUGGAAGUGAAGUGACGGUGCUGAUAGAUUUCCUGUGACCAUAGGACAGAUGAGCAAGAACGUUCAAUUCUGGGCAUUUCUGCUUUCCACCCAGGGAUUAUUCCUUGGGCCAUUAUCGCUGCAGUGGAUGAAGGUACUUGCUAAAAAUAGGCUACUAAUGUUUUCCUUAGAAUUACAGCACACGUCAGAGGAGACUAAUGACCCAGCGCUGUACUGUUUUCUUUUCAUUUCAGCUGGCCUCAAACAAAUAAACCCGAUAAAUAUUAUCAGAGUCACAUAUGCUCAUUAAGGGCUAUAGUCAGUGGCUAUGUUUGUUUUACUGUGUAAUAGAUGAUGAAACCAUGGUGAUGAGCAGAGUAGGCUGGAAUGGUUUUCAUAUUUUCCCAUCUUAACACUGGAGACUGGCUCCUUGUUUUUUCACUGGCUUGUAUUAGAAAUAGAACAGCUUACUAAAACACUUCUUCAUCUUGACAUGUCUUAAAGCCGUCCUCACUCACAUCUUCUGAUCUAGUUCAGGGAUACAUGAUAAAUGUUUGAAAGUGGUCCUUAAAUAUAGCGUUGAAUGGGAAACAAGUACUUACAGGGUGUGGACACUCAUGUAAAAGCUUUCAUUUGAGAGCAAGUAUCCUCCGUAAUUGAGGAUUUGGGUCUUAAUUGUUUUAUGGGUUAGAGGACAGAACGGGAGUCAUGCUGUAUAAAAUUUAUGUUAUAAAAAGUCAAGACAUACUACGCUGGCCAAAUGUUUUUUUUAAGGUUUCAGGCCUGUAAAAGGAAAUAAAUUCCGUGAUUAUUUCCUAAUGAAAAUACAAUACACUUUCCUAGCAGGUCCUGACAGCGUUCGUAUUUUUAAAGAGACCAUGAAAAACAAUGUCUCUUCUCAUUCUUCCAUAAAUUCUUACCAAAAUGGUAAAAUUGUACAUGGAAUUAGGCUGUUGUACGGUUUUCUAGCUCCUUCUUGCUCUAAUGCCUUCUUCGGUCAACAGAGUGGUCUUUCUAAAAAAUACCAUCUGAUCAUGCCCUCCUCCAGGUGAAAACUUGGAGGGCUCCAUAUUAACAUAAUCCAAGCCCUUUGCAGGGUGCAGGUGACGCUUCCUGCCGCGGCCUCUCUUAGCUCCUCUCACAAUGCUCCUUUCCCUCCUGUGUUACUCGCCCCCUAAGUAACUCACUGUCAUCCUCAACGUCUUAGGUCCUUCAACCUCCAAAUAACCUCCCACUUGAUGUUCUGGUAAAAACUGUUUUCAUUAUGGCUCCACUCAGAUACAACUUCUGUGAUUUUUUUUUAAAAAUUUACCCGGAAACAUCUAGCCAUCCCUCCUCUGUGUUCCCCUAACACACUCUCCAGGCACAACAGUCCCAUCGUCCUGCACCUUCACCAUGUUUUAAUGCCUACCUGCCCCCCCCCCCGCCAACCUGCACAUCCCCUGCUGAGAAUUGGGGGGUUUUUUGUAAGUAAAAGCUCAACGCUGAUAUAAUUCCUGUCCCCAAGCAGGUGCUAUAAAUGUCCGUUUAAAGCUCAACUAAAUAAAUGAAUCAGAAACUGCUCCUCAUGAAGAAGGGACAUGCCCAGAGCCUUUUUAUGCGGUGAUGCUAGUUGCAGUUUCAGACGGGAGGUGCAGACUGAAGCCAGGGAUAGGUUCUGCCCGAGUGUCCGAUUAGCUUUUAGUUUCUAGUUAAACCACAUGUGCCCAAGAGAGCAUGGAGUGAUUACUUGGAGAACCACCACCUACUCUGUCCACAUAGCGUGAUAAACAGAUACACUUUCUUCUUUGAAAAUGUUCCCUCCAGUCUCUGCGGAGACCUGAGACACGUCCAUUUAGAAGAACAAAGGGGGACGAACGAGUCACCAACUGGGCAGUAGGAGUUGUCUGUUCAGCAGCCGCUUCCUGUAACCUGUGGUUACUUUCCAAACAGAUUUCAGGGACCUGAUUUGGGGGCGAGGUUAAUCUUCCAGGGAAGGCCGCCUAAGACCAAAGAAAAGGGCUCACACUUGAAAUUGAUGAUGGUUCCACCCCCAGGGUCCAAAUCUGCUCUUCGGUUGCACACUCAAAGCCAUUUAAAAAUGCAGCCUGGGAGUGUGGGGAUUGUAGACCCGAACUGCUGCCUUUGGAGCGGAUAAGCAAUGAGACCCUGCGUAUGGCGCAGGGAACUCGAUCUGUGGGGUGGAAUGUGAUGGAGGGUAAUGUGAGAAAAAGCAUGUAUAUAUGUAUGUAUAACUGGGUCACUUUGCUGCACAGCAGAAAUUGACAGAACAUUGCACAUCAACUGUCAUAAAAAUUUUUAAAAAUACAUAAAAAUGGCAGCCAUCAGAACAUAGUUACAGAAACACAGAACGACACAGAUAAAGGAGUCUUAGAGAUAAACUUGUCAAUGCCCUUUAUUAUUCGGAUGUGGCCAUAACAGCUUAGAGACAAUCCUAUUGCUGUAAAGGGUUUGGGGGGGAAUGGGUGAAGAUGAUUCCUAGCAGUGGACCUGUGCAGGGAGUGGCUAGCCACCGGUUCUGUGGUCCGGUAAGCCUGGCUUCAUCACUUAUCACCUGUCUGGCCAUAGGCAGGUUCCUGAACCUCUUCGAGGCUCAGUUUCUUCAACUGUAAAAAGCACCCCUGCCAGCUACCUACAGAGCAUCAAGCUCAGCGCCUGAAAAAGCAGGUCUCCUCAGUAACAGAUGGCUGCCGUUAUCACAGUGGAAAUAGGGAGAUGUGGCUCAUAUUUGGGGUGGACUUCUGUCCUAAGCCUCCACAGCAUCCAAAUCUUAAUAUUUGGGAGGAAGCGUGGGGGAGAGGAGGAAGGCUUGCCUUCCACCCUGGAAGCUCUAAGGGAGGGACCAGUCAGCAGGAGCUGGGACACGGUGGAGACCAGCCAAUCAGAACUUCUGCCUGGGGCCCUGCAUCUGGAAGUGACCAGCUGCAAGGGCAGUGCCCAGGCUCCUGGCCUGACUGCGUCCUGCAGGAGGGCCAGCUGCCCGGCCCCUCCAUGUGCUCUGAGCCUGGCGUUUCUCUGACCUCCUCCAGCGAAGUCCUCUUGUAUUUAGGUUGAAUCAACUUGACUUCUACUUCUGACCAGUGAGACUCUCAUGGUCGAUAUAAUUCUGGGUAGAGGCAGACAAUUUUUUUCCCAGCUCUUCACCAUCCACUGUUCAGGCACUCUGUACUUCAUCAUCUCCCAAAUUAUAACCAUGGCUUAACUUCCUUUGUUCAUGGACGAAGAGGAGUCUCCAAAAAUGAGGACGUGCAGGCGAUCUGAGAGGUUAACUCUAAUUCACACGAGUGAGCCGUUAAAUACACGAACCUAGGCUGAGAGUUGAAGGGUCUGAUCUGAAUGGCAGCGGGGAGAAGCCCGACAACCCGGGCUCACUAAGUGGGAGCUGGUUGCAAGAGAAAUUGUCAUCUAGGGCAGGCAUCACCCUGCACUAAGUAACCAGUGAUUUUCCAAUGUUUUUUAGUUGGAGAGAAAUAUAGGACAGAUGUGUUGGCUCUAGAAACAAUAAAAACAGCUCCUUAAAUCACCAAGAAGCAGUGGGGUGGGGGGAAGGUAACACAAUACCGGAUAAAUCAGGAGGGAGUGGGCAGGACUGUCUGUCACGGUCAAGGGUAGCAGGGGAUGAUGCGAUCGGCAGCAGUAAACAGCCUGGGGGUGAGGAAACCUUGGACCACAAGCAUCAGCCAAAGCAGAAAGCUUCCCUGAACCCCACCCUGAAGGGGAAAGAUACACAACUGGCGGAAGAGGGAUAAGAUGCUAACAGAAACC